CACACACAAACAAACACACAUCUGCAAUGUUCAUCUAAAACAGCUUUUACUUCAGCUGCAUCAGGUGAUCUUUCAUUGAUGAGUAAAGGUUUAUUGCAGCCAGUGGCGCAAACGAUAUAAAGAAGUGUAACAACCUGAUAAACUCAGUGUGACUGAGUUUGAAUCCACCGAGAUUCUUUUUGAUGGAUUUUAUUAACAGACAUUAACAAACAUUUUCUGCCACCUUUAUUUAGAAGAUUUUUCCAUUUUAAGCUCCCAGAUGAAAAAUCUAAUGGUUUUUAUGAAAUAUUUUAAACUAAGCAAUAAAAUGUCAACAAAGAAGCAGGAGUCAGGUUAUUCAUCAAAUUUAUAAAUUUAUCUAUUCAAAAUACAAAACUCCACAGAGUGCAGCUCCAAAAGUUACUUUACAAACAAUAAAUAUAGAAAAUCCUUCAUUUGAACCCAGAGACGCCAUUAAUGGCAUCAUGAACCUAUACAGGAACAGGAAGUGCUGGGUUGGCCCCGCCCACAAACCUGUCCUGAAUGCAGGAUAUGAAUAAAGGAGCAACGGAAGAUGUUCUGUUUCUGGUUUGAUGGAGGUCGGUGAACCCGGCUGCAGGUCGUUGUGGAGAAGUUUGAAUCUGGGUUCGGUUCUACAGAUCUCUGAUCAGUUUCCCUGGACUCUGCUGCCGUCCAUCUGCUCAGACGGAGACUCGCUAGAGACAGCCAACCCUCGAUGCUAUCGGCACCAGAACCCCGGUGAGUUCACCCGACAGUCACUGAAGACUGCAGGGAGACUCUGAAGUGCAGCGGCGCCAUCCGCCAUGCAUCCAUUAGGAUCACACUUCGUUGGGAAAACUGAGGCGUUGUUUCUUUUCACACAUCCACUGAGUGCCAUGAAGUGUCAGUGUCACUGCGGUCGGUCCUGGAGGCUCCUCUCAGCACAAUUCUAAUUCUGUUCCCUUCUGUCUGCGCUGCUGACCUUUGACUCGUCUGAAUAAAGUUUAUCAAGGUGAUCGUUGUGUUUGCUCAACUUAAUACUUUAAAGUUUCCUUUUGUUCCAAAUCCUUGUUUUUCUCAGACUUAAAGAGAAAAGACAAAACAUGACGAAUCGCAGUGGAUCCACAUCAGUAUUUAUGGAUUCAUCUAUUUUGAACAUGACUUAGAAUUAUUUGUGGAAAAUUCACAGAUUUCAUUUCAUAGAGCAUAUAUUCAUUACAGCAGGGGGCACACUUCAGCUAGUGUGCUAAUAGCGGAGCUAAAUUUUGUUUAGCACUUUAGCAUUUUUGCUAACUUUGAAAAAAUGUAGCGUAUUUAGCUUCCCCUAAUUCCAGAUAAAUUCUAAAGCACUAAUUUUCUUGGCUGUUUUAUGAACUUUCAGGUGAAUGAAAUU